rnacentral:rRNA from 1 species
UUCGUAGGCGGUGCGGCAAGUUGGGAGUGAAAUCUCUGGGCUUAACUCAGAGGCUGCUUUCAAAACUGCCGUGCUCGAGUGCGAGAGAGGUCAGUGGAAUUGCAGGUGUAGCGGUGAAAUGCGUAGAUAUCUGCAGGAACACCCGUGGCGAAGGCGGCUGACUGGAUCGCAACUGACGCUGAGGAACGAAAGCUAGGGGAGCAAACAGGAUUAGAUACCCUGGUAGUCCUAGCCCUAAACCAUCAGAACUUGGGGUGGCCCGCGUAGGCGGGUCGUCCCGUAGCUAACGCGUUAAGUUCUGCGCCUGGGGAGUACGGUCGCAAGACUGAA